rnacentral:lncRNA from 1 species
GCCAGUAUAUAAAGCGCACGAUUGUGCGAGGACUAGAAAUGGGAAUAUCCCCGAUUCCAAAGCGCAGCACUACACCGUGGACUAAAAUGAAAAUGUUUGCGAAUUAGGGAACCAAAUAAUAAAAAAAGGGGGAAAAUAACAAGUAAGGCACAAUUGCAUGCCCGCGUAAAAGAGGAGGACUAAACCCACAAAUAACCCUUCACCGCAAAAACACGUUGGUCCCGAGGGUAUUCGGGUCGGAUCCGAUCAGGCGUGGUCCGUACGGCGUCGUUUUAGGGCUACCAGGUUAAGCCUUAAACGACAUCACUUCCUCCUGUAAGUUAAAAAGAAAAAGAAAGAGAAAACCUAAGGUAAAUCUAAGCGCCGCAGCAACAAAAGAGGGAAAAUGAAAGGGAAAACCCUAAGAGUUCGCCCCUUUUUCAAUCUGCUAUCCGGCCACCGUCAUUCCACCAUUGAAAUCGGUGGACGAGAGCCUGCAGAGGAACCGUCCUAUAUCUAAGCUUUAAACCUCAUAUCGAAAGUCAGACUUUACCCUCGAGGGACCGAUCUCAGCCUUCAAUUUCGGCGAAGAGGAAACCGUCUCCGAUGGCUCGUAUGCGAAGGUAAGGCCUCACUUUUCUUCCUUUUCGAUUCUUAUGUUCGAAAUGUGCAAUAUAUAAAACUGGAGAAACAAGAAACGGAGGGGAAAACGAAUCAAAAAAAGGAACCUGAAUCUGAAUCUCACCUUUCAAUUUCUUUUGCGUUUUGUAUUUCCAAAUGUAUCGAUUGUGCGCGUAACCUUUUACAAAGACUAAAAUUCUCGCUUUAUAGCUGAAAAUGGUAGAAAUAAAAAAAUAACAAUACAAAUUCUUUCUUUGCUUUCGCAUUGGGUAUGUGCUACUGUUGUUUUGUCGUUUGUUUUCUUUCGCAGUUACAGGUGCGUUGGCGCUCGGGUACGGGUCUGGGCUGGCGUACGGAGGCGGUGUGCAUGGCUGCUGGAGGGUACGGAGGCCAGGGCCGAGGCUUGGCUGCGGCGCGAGAGAGAGAGAACCUUAGGGUUCUGUCUGUUCUAAAAAAAUUUUGGGCCAUUUGGGCCGGUGUCAUUGUGGGGUUGGGUCUAGUUUAGUUAUUGAGUCUAGAUUUAGCUAUUUUGGUCUUGGGUUUUAAUAUUAGUUUGGGCUUGUAAUAGGUAUUAGCCUGUAAGAGGACAUUAAAUGGACUAUGGAUUUAUUUAUUUAUUUAUUUUUUUGGUUUCUAGUGGGCCCAGGCCAAAAUUGGUGAUUAUAAUAUUCUUAUUAAGAUAUCAUAAUAUUAACUACAUUAUUUAAAUGCAUAUUUAUUACUUUAUAACAUAAUGUCUAAAAUAGACAUUUUAUUUAUUAAAAGUACUUUUUGACAGCAAUACUAAACACUUAAAUCUCAAAUUGAAC